rnacentral:rRNA from 1 species
AUGCAAGUCGAGCGAUGACGCACAGCUUGUUGCUACGUUGAUUGGAGCCGGAUACGUGAGACUUGUGUUUGCUGAUACGCCUUUCGGGGGGACUCCGGGAAAGCGGGCCACUGACAAUAUAUGAUAAUGUCUCGCAUGGGGGUGGUUGCCCUUUUUUCCUCACGGGAUGGGCUCGCCCCCUUGGGAUUUGCUGGUGGGGUGAGGGCCGACUUACGCAAGCACCGAUACCCGGCCGGAUAGAGAGGCCGAUCACCCUGGGACUGACACACAGCCCACACUCCCACCGGAGGCAGGCGUGGGGAAUAUUGAUUGCUGGGCGAAAGCCUGACGGAUGCACCCCUCCUGAGGGAGGAAAGCCUUCCGUUUGUAAACCUCUUUCAUUCAGUAAGAAGCGCAGGUGACGGUACCUGCAAAGCAAUCGCCGGCUAACUACAUGCCAGAAGCCGCGGUAAUACCUAGGGCGCAAGCGUUGUCCGGAAUUAUUGGGCGUAAAGAGCUCGUAAAUUACUUUGUCGCGUCUGGUGUGAAAACUCGAGGCUCAACUUCAUGCUUGCAUCGGGUACUCAACAGACUAAAGUGCGUUAGGGGAGACUGGAAUUCCUGUUGUAGCGGUGGAAUGAAUUUAUAUCAUAACGAACAACGAUGGCGAAAUCUGAUCUCUGGCCCACAACUGACGCUGACGACCGAAAGCAUGCUGAGCGAACAGGACUAAAUACCCUGGUAGCUCCAUGCCGUAAACGCUGGGCACUACGUGUGGGGCUCAUUCCACUACUUCAAUGUCGCAGCAUACGCAUUGUUUGCCCCAGCUGACGCGUUCAGCCGCCAGGCUGAAACUCACAGGAAUUAAGUGAAGACCCCACUAACUUCACGAGCAUGCCGAUUAAAUUCGAGGAACUGUGAUAACCUUAGCAAGGCCUUGACAUGCACCUAAAGCCACCUUGAGAUGCUGGUCAUCUUUGCACACUUCGUUGCUCAGUGUGU